rnacentral:lncRNA from 1 species
GCGCUUCUUGGGGCGGAUGAGGGGCCGGUUGUGGCCAUCAGGGGCAGGUUUGAGGCGCAAUGAGGCAGUUUUGGGGUGCAGCGGGGCGGUUUUGGGGCGCAGCUGGGCAGUUUUGGGGUGUGUACGGGGGGGUUUUCGGGGCGUGGGGGCCGUUUCGGGGCUCACCAGGCACUUCUUGGGGUGGAUGAGGGGCCGGUUGUGGCCGUUGGGGGGCAAUGGGGGUGGGUUUGAGGCACAGCAGGGCCGUUUUGGGGCGCAGUGGGGUGGUUUUGGGGCGCAGCGGGGCGGUUUGGGGGUGCAUACAGGGGGUUUUCGGGGCGCGGGGGCCGUUUUGGGGGCGCGGGGGCCAUUUUCGGGGCUCACCAGGCGCUUCUUGGGGCGGAUGAGGGGCCGGUUGUGGCCGUUCAUCUUGUGGUAGAGGCCGCAGGCGUUGCACAGGUAGUGGCCGGUGCCGUCGCGCCGCCAUAGCGGGGUGGCCGUGGCGCCACAGUUCACGCACUCCCGCGCCUCUGCCCCGCGCCCCCGUCAGCACCAGUACCCACCAGUACAAACCAGUACCAACCAGUACGCACCGGCACCUCCCAGCGCACCCCAGCGAGCACCAGUAUGAAUCAGUACGCAACAGCGCCCCCCAGCGAGCACCAGUACGAACCAGCGCCCACCAACGCCCCCCAGUAUGAACCAGUUCCCACUAACACCCCCCAGUCAGCACUGGGGCACACCAGUAUGCACCAGUAUGCACCAUUACACACCAUUACCCCCCAAUACCCAACAGUGCCCACCAGCACCCCCCAGUACCCACCAGCAUGAACCAGUGCCCACCAACACCCCCCAGUCAGCACCGGGGCGCACCAGUAUGCACCAGUAUGCACCAGUACACACCAUUACCCCCCAAUAUCCAGCAGUGCACACCAGCAUCCCCCAGCGCCCACCAGUAUAAACCAGUGCCCACCAACAUCCCCCAGUCAGCACCAGUAUACACCAGUACGCACCAGUACACACCAAUACCCCCCAAUACCCAGCAGCGCCCCCCAGCGCCCCCCAGUGCCCACCAAACCCCACCAGCGCCCACCAGUGCUCCCAGUCGGUCCCAGUGACCCCACACCAGCGCUGCCCCUGCGCACCAGUGCCCACCAGUACACACCAGUAUGCACCGGACCCCACCAGUGCACCCCAGUGCUCCCAGUAGGCCCCAGCAGCACUGCCCCUGCCCCCCAGCACACACCAGUGCC